GGCUGGUGGCUGGGCCCGGAGCUGGGUGGAAACUGGAUGAGGCUGGUGGCGACCAGAAUGGGAGUGGUGAUGAUGAUAAAUGUGAGGAUUUUCUGAGUUCAUAUUCACUAAGGUGGUACACAGGAAGCACUCGCCGAACGUUAGCUAUUAAUAUCCUGCCGCGAAAACGGAUGGCGGAGCGGAAGGGUUCUUAGUAGGGGCAAGGAAUUGUGAUGAUAGCAAGUAUUGUGUGACAGGCAUUGUGUAAGCCACAAUUCUAUGAGGUAGUUCUCAUUAUUAAGGCUGCUUUGCAGAUAAGGAAACUGAGGUUACGCGACUUAGCCAUGUGACCUUGAGCAAGUUACUGAACAUUUCUGUGCUUCAGUUUCCUCAUCUGGAAAAUUGUGAUAAUAGUGCCGAGGGCCAGAAUGGACCUCGGGAAGAGAGGUUUUUUUGGGCCGAAGCUCUCCCUCUCGGCCUCCUCCACCGGAAAACCUCUGCUCCCAAGCUGUAAUAGAAAGUGUGUGCCUGAGGGAUUAACCCCACGCGCGCCCCCCAACUCCCUCCCACCCCGUGUCUAAAUGUCUAAGUAUCAGCCCCACAGGAGGCUGGUUUGUCCUCCUAAUCUCCCUCUCUCAUUCUUCACCAUUUCCUACCGGGCUGUAGGCUGGGGCGGGAGAGAUAAGCGGUCUGGGGUUCAGCAUCGCUGACUAACCAACAGAUUGACAGCCCUGCCACCCAGUAGCUGGGCCUGCUGACCCUAUUGCAAACCCCAGUUCCAGCCUUUUCUUCCCUUCCACUCUUUUCCUACCUGAACAUGUCUUUUGUCCCAGUGGAAGAGGGUCACAACCUUUAAAUGUUUACAUACACCAAAAAAAGUACAUGUACAAUGAUAAACACUGAGGAACAUUCUGAGGUUGUGAUGCUAGCAGAGUGAAAGAGUAGGGAAGUCUUAUAAGGGCCAAGGCCCAUUUUUUCUGUAUAGUCAGAAGAGAGGUUCCUAUAGAGCAGAGGUGGGCAAACUUUUUCUAUGAAGGGCCAGAUAGUAAAUAUUUUAGGCUUUGCAGGCCACAUCUGGCCUCUGUGGUAUUUUCUUUCUUUCCUUCCUUUUUCUUUCCCUUUCUUUUGUUGGCCAUUCUUUUCCUUCUUCCUUCCCUUCCCUCCGCUCCCUCCCCUUCUUUCCCUUCCCUUCCCUUUCUUUUCUUUCUUUCUCUUUAAAAAAGUAAAAACAGGCUACAGUUUGGCUUUGGCCUGAAGGCCAUAGUUUGCUGAUCCCCGCUGUAGAGCGUCAGUCUUUGAUUUCCUUUAUCUGGCUGGGAUUCUUUUGCAGGAUGAGUGCAGAGGUUUCAUGCUUCCUGGGGAGAGGUAUUCCUCUUGUGUGAGAUGUGAGGACAGGGAUUCAUGGACAAGAUCAAGUCAUUUCUGGUGUUCUACUGGAUCAAACAAAUGUUCCUGGAUGGAGUGAGGUUAUGCGUUGUUCCUCUACUGAACCAAGCAGGGGUUUCUAUACAGGACGAAGCAGUUGUUUCUAGGGAGCUCCAGACUAGGGAUUCCCAUCCAAGUUCAGGAUGGGGCUCCUUAGACUGCAUUAUGACAGGUUCCUAUAAAGAGAUCAGGUAACCCAAUUUGGAGUCGGCACAGGUGUUUCUGUACAGGUUCAGAGCUGUGCUCAUAUAGACAUAAGAUCAGCUGUUCAUGUCCAGGUUCAGUCAAGAGAUUGUUACUAAUUGGGCUAAAUUAUGCUAGGUGCUGUAAAAGCCAGAAUCUCAGAGGCUUCACAAACACAUGUUUAUUUCUAACUCAUGUGAAAUCCAGUGUGAAUAUUACUGGUUAUUCAUGGACCCAGACAACUUCCAUUUUGCACCUCUGCUCUCCUCUGAACACUUGGAGUUCACACUAUUCAUCUGGUAGAUGGGGAAAGAGUAUCGUGGAGGACUGUUUGAGAGACUUUUAUGGGCCAGGCCUGGAAGUGUUGUAUGUUACUCUGCCCAUACUCUGUUGGUUAGAAGUCUGGCACAUGUCCAUAUCUAACUGUAAGGGAGGUUGGAAAAGUAAAUGAGCUCAGGAAGAAAGGGAACAAGAUUGAAGAGCCUAUAAUUGUGCGUGCUACAGGAUUUUAUAGACUGCAGAACUAUGCUGUGUAGUGCAGUAGCCACUAGCCACAUGGGGCUACUGGGCUCUUGAAAUGUAGCCAGUCCAACUUGAGAUGUAAGUGUAAAAUUCACACUGGAUUUCAAAAAAAUUGGUAUGAAAAAAUAUCUCCAUAACUUUCAUAUUGAUUAUGUAUUGAAAUGAAAUGUAGUUGACCCUUGAACAAAACGGGUUUGAGCUGAGUCCACUUAUGUGCAGUUUAUUUUUUCAAUAAAUACUACAGUACUGCACUGUGAGGUUGGUUGACUCCAUGGAUGUUAAACUGCAGAUAUGGAGGAACCAAGAAUACAGAAGGCUGACUAAAUUAUACAUGGAUUUUCAACUGCACGUGGGUGUCAGUGCCCCUAACCCCUGCAUUAUUUAAGGGUCAACUAUUUAAAUAUAUUGGGUAAAGUGUAUUAUCAAAAUUAAUUUUACCUGUUUUUUUCCUCUUUUCAAUGCAGCUACAUGAAAAAUUUAAAUUACACAUGUGGCUCAAAUUGUAUUUCUAUUGGAUAGCACUGCUGUAAGAGAAUUCUCUUUAAAAAGUUUUGGGACAAGGGGGAAGGGGAUCGCUCAAGUGAUAGAGUGCAUACUAAGCAACCAAGAGGUCAGGGGUUCAAUCCCCAGUACCACGUCUAAGUGGAAAUCAAUGAAGAAACCUAAUUACCUCCCCCUCAUAAAGUAUUGGGACAAGAGUUCUUGUGUAGGUGUAAGUAGGGCUUUCUCUUUAGGGCCAAGUUAGUGUUUCUUGUCCGAGGUCAGGAGAAUGAUUCUAUUUCCUGGUAAGGCAGGUUUGUAGAAAAAUAUGCGGGGUGGAGACAUUGUACAGUGAGAGGGAAGAAUGUGAAGGCAUUUUUUUGUUGUUGCUGUGCAGAUGAAGAUUAGCUGCUCCUUUAGAGGCCAGGAGGGUGGUUUUCUGUAGAGAGUCAGGCCAGCGGAUCACAGCAUACUCAGGCCAAGUAUUUCUAUAUGAGAUCAGAGCUAGGCUCCUGGGGACAGACAGAUCAGGUGACCCUGUUGGGGUUAGACUAGGGGUUCUUGUACAGGCGGGACAGGUGAUCAUGGUGAUUCAGAUUGUGGAUUGUUUACCAAGGUCAGAGCAGAGCUUCCUAUACAGUACAGGUGAUUUUUAUACUGGUUUGUUUCUUGGAUGUCUCUCAAGAGCCAAAGGUUCCCGUUGAGUGUGAGGGUGGGAUUUUCUUUACCAGCUCAGGACCCAAGUUCCUGCUGGCACUCAGAAGAAGGGGGGUGGUCCUGUGCGGUGUCAGGACAAAGAUCCCGUGCAGAGGUCGGACACUGUUACCUCCAGAGAUUCAGAUAUUCACGAACUCAAGCAACUGAAGCCCCUCAGCCAUUGCUGACCCACAGUGGGCAUGCAGUGAAAAGUGCUGCUUGCUGUUAGGAGUCGCUGGGUAGCUCGGAGCCUAAGCCACGGAGCCUGUCUAGCCCCGGGCCACCAGCUGUGUCACCUCAGGAGAGCUACUUAACCUGUCUGGCUUAGUACGUCCCCCAACUCAGCGCACACACACUCCCCUGAAAGGCUUUGUUAAAUGGAGGAACAGAUGCCACUUUUGGGGGAACACUUUACACAGAUGCCUUGCGGUUUCGAGUUUGAAUACCAUCCUUCCGCAUGGUCAGUGGUCGGUUCACCUGCCAAAAAGGAGGCCAUGGGUGUUUCCCAACUCCACAUCUUUGCCUGUGUCUCCACUGGGGAUGUUCUCUCCUCCCUACUUCUUAAGACCAGGGAAUUCGGUUCAAGGACUAGAGGAGUGCGCCCCUGGUGUGGCACAGACUGUGAAGUCCACCAGGGAUAGGACAGAGCCCGGCUCACCUCUCUGUCAAUAGCACCCAGAGAAACAUCAACCUAAGUCUGCUAAGGAGUCAAACGUUUGCCUUAGAACUAAACCACUGUGGUUUUUAAGAGAAAAAGCAUUCACCUUUGUUAAAUGUUAAUAUUUUGUCCUAUUUACUUCAGAUCCUUUUUAAAAGAAAUAUGAUAUUACAGAUAUGGUUGAAGUCCUUGCACCAAUUUCAUUUCCCUCUCUCCUUCCACUACCUUAAGUUUGGUGUUUAUCUUCAUCGUAAAUAUUUUUAUUCCAUCACUGCAUAUGUAUGUAUGUGUAUAUAAGAAAUGAUACUGGGGGUUUGGGGCCUGUUUUUGAACUUCAUAUAAAUGGAAUCACACAGUAUGUGCUUCUUUUUGCUCAGCAUGUCUGUGACAGUCAUCAUUUUUUAAAUUGAGAUGUAAUUCACAUACCACAAAAUUCACCCUUUUAAAGUGUACAUGUCAGUGGUUAGAACCUUCACAAGGUUGUGCAGCUAUCAUCACUAAUUCCAGAACAUUUUCAUCACCCCAAAAAGAAGCCCUGUGCCCAUUAGCAGUCACUCCCCUUUCCAUUUCCCCCUCCUCCCAGACCCUAGCAACUCAUCUACUUUCUGUCUCUAUGGAUUUGCCUGUUCUAGACACUUCGUAUAAACAGAAUCAUACAAUAUGUGGCCUUUUGUGACUGGCUUCUUUUACUUAACAUAAAAUUUUCAGGGUUCAUUCAUGUUGUAGCAUGGAUCAGUACUUCAUUCCUUUCUAGGGCUGAAUGACAUUCCAUUAUAUGAAAAUUCUACAUUGUGCUGUCCAUCUGAUUAACAGUAUUGGCUCUCAUGAAUAAUGCUGCUAUGAACGAACAUUCAUGUAAACGAUUUUACGUGGACGUAUGUUUUCAGUUCUCUUGGAUGUAUAUCUAGGAAUAGAAUUGCAGGGUCCUAUGGUAAUUCUGUUAGCCUUUUGGGGAACUGCGAAAGUGUCCUCCAUAGCAGCUGUAUGAAGUUUCCGAUUUAUCCACAUCCUCUCCAACACUUGUUAUUGUCCUUCUUUUUGAGUCUAGCCAUCCUAGUAGGUGUGAUACGGUACCUCAUUGUGCUUUUGAUUUGUACUUCCCUAAUGACUAAUGAUGUUGAAUAUCUUCCCAUGUUUUUGUUGGCAAUUUGUAUGUCUUCUUUAGAGAAAUAUCUAUUCAAUCCUUUGCCCACUUUAAUUGGAUUAUUUGCCUUUUAUUUUUGAGUAGUAAGAAUUCUUCAUAUAUUCUGGAUGCUAGACCCUUAUUGGAUAUGUGAUUUGCAAAUAUUUUCUCCUAUUUGUGGGUUAUCUUUUCACUUUCUUGAGUGUCCU